rnacentral:misc_RNA from 1 species
AAAUGGGUGUGCAUAACUUAUGCAAGUUUCGACAAGAAUGGGGAUUUUAAAAAGUUAGCUGUGCAAAAGUGCAUAACUUAUGCACACACUUAUACAAGUUUCGACAAAAAAGAAAUCCCAGUAAAUUUGGUUAUGCAAUAAUGCAUAAGCUAUGCAUUUGGUUAUGUAGAAUUCGGUAGAAAUGAAAAUUUCAGGAUUUGAAGUUAUGCAAGAGUGCAUAAGUUAUGCAUACACUUAUGCAAGUUUCGGUAGAAAUGGAAAUGGCAAAAAUUGUGGCGGUGCAGAAUUG